UACGGAGGGGGCUAGCGUUGUUCGGAAUUACUGGGCGUAAAGCGCACGUAGGCGGACUGUUAAGUCGGGGGUGAAAUCCUGGGGCUCAACCUCAGAAUUGCCUCCGAUACUGGCAGUCUCGAGUGCGGGAGAGGUGGAGUGGAAUUCCUGGUGAUAGCGGUGAAAUGCGUAGAUAUCAGGAGGAACACCGGUGGUGUAGACGGCUCACUGGACCGUAACUGACGA
rnacentral:rRNA from 1 species